rfam:Ovis aries breed Texel chromosome 5, whole genome shotgun sequence.
UCUCUGGUGGCUCAGACGGUAAAGCGUCUGCCUGCAAUGCAGGAGACCCAGGUUCGUUUCCUGGCUCGGGAA